CUUCGUGCUGCUGUUCUCUGGGUGGACCCGGACGUGACACCAAACAGCAGCUGGAUCGUCACGUGAAAACACAAACCAGCAGACGUAACACCACACGCGACUCCACUCAGUCAGAACACAAGCUAGAAACCUUCCUGCACACGUGUGUGGGCUCGUCUGCACAGACACCUGGGCAAAGCCCCGGCUCUUCAUGGCGUCUGCUUUUGGUGGGAGAAACUGAGUGUCUCAGAGGUGAACAGGUCUACAGUGACGCAAGUGGACGGUCAGUGUAAAAAUCUGCCUUUUCUGCCACCUAGCGUGGCCAUGAGAUCACAAUGACACUUAAAAAGUGCUCUCCCAGAUCUACACAGUUCUGGGAAGACAACGUGAGGUGGGUGACAGCACAGCACACGCCUGGCAGACGCCUGCCAAGCUACCCAGUCUCGAAAUGCAGCUUGAACCUCGUCCACAGGACCCAGAUUCCCUCCCAGAUGGUACAGUGGGGACACAGUUUGUGAUUUCAAGUCUCAUCAAACCCGAAACGAGGGGCAGGGAAGCACCCGGGAGCACUGCCCACCAAGCGACGUCUCAGCACGUGGGGCUAGACAUCACGAUCCCUCACCCCUGCUCAUCAUGACCAAGCAGAGGGCUGUCUUCCCAAGCCGCUCCAGGCACAAGUGUGCAAUCGGAGGCUGCGUUUCUCCAGGACCCAGGACGUCUUGAGGACAGGAAACCACUCAGCCAAGACCACAGUGCUACCCAAAACGACGGGUUUUAAAAACUGCAACACGAUUUUUAACAUCACCUGCAGCCUGCUUCUUCGUGUCAGGUGUGUUGGCGGGGAUUUUCAUCUGAUUUUCAGAAACAUCCUCCUACUUCAGUUUUGGUCCAAGACACUGAAGAACGCGAAAUCUGAGAACGAAGGCAGUAACAGUGCAGAGGCAUUUAUGGGGCCCAGCAGCACCUCCAAUGGAUCACACGAUGAUCUUUAAGAACCCUCUGCUUUCAAAUACCUUACAAGGAUCUUCCCCAAAAUUAUCUUUAUUUGGCUACAAUUGUUAAGUUGAUGAUCAAGUAUGUUAGAAUUCCAACUAAACGUUUUUCCCUGUUUGAUGGAGAAGCAAAAUGGAAGGGUCACACUUCACUACCUGUCACCAAGCGUGACCAUGAGGCCCCAGGCCAGGGGACCAUCUUCCAAGAAGCCUCGGGAGAUACCCGGGCCAUCCCAACACGUUCAAACGGUGGUCAACAGUGCCAAGCUGAGCACAGGGCUCACAUCUUUAUUCUAAGACAGACAGCCCGGAAGCUUCAAGACAAAACAAGCAGAAACAUUUAAACCUCACAGCUUCAGCAAGGACAGGGCGACACAGAAGACGUCAGGCCUGGCCGUCGCCUCCCUCGGGAGUCUGCUCCUCUGGAGCCACGCUGCUGCUGCCACCAGAGGCAGACACGUGAGCCGCCACUGACCCUGUGAGGCAUCAAGGGAGCUGUUUCCGUGCUAAGCAGGUCCGAGUGGUGCCUGCCACUCAUCCCAGCACCAGCGAGCGGCUAACACACGCUCCUGGUGAUUCAAGUGCUGAAGACAGCGACAGGAGGUGGCUGGCGAGCUUGGGUCUCUCUGGGAGGAAGACGGCCAACGGUGUCUGAGGACAGAGUGAGCCUUCCCAUGCACCAGAACCACGGGCCAGCGCCGCAAGCUGGGAGCACAGGCGGACACAGCUCAUCCACUGCCUUUCCAGUAGAGGGCAGAGUGCCUACUCCGGGCCCCGUAGCCCUGCCGGCUUCCAUUAACCAGCAGCAGCUCUGCCGGUGCCCGCCCCACGCGAGCAGGUGCGGCCGUGCGCCAGCGACGCUUCAGAACGGCCCGUGUGAGACUCAAGGACUCGCGCUCUAUUCCCCUCACUCAAUGACAGCAUCAGGGCAAAUCCUCUCACUGCCUCACGUGGGUGGUGUGCCCUCCGAGGCCCACGCGGGCCCCACUUUGUUCCCAGCUCUGUGUCCAGCACAGCACUGUGCUGGGGGGACAGGCACCCAUGGACACCUGCUGAGCUAAGAGCCCGAGGAGGACCAGCGCCCACAAACAGUGCAAGUGAGGUGAACAAAUACCGCUCUUGAGGAUUAGGAAAUGUUUGCAGUAAAACCAGUUUGGGAUUAGAAACUGACAUUUGCUGAAGCCAGUCACAAACCUUUUCCGUUUUAACCCUUUGGACUAUUAAGGAUAGUCAAUAACAUAAUAAGCUGAACUGAUAUGAGCUACGGAAGAUUUUGUGAGGAGAGCAUGGCAGAUAUUUGGCCGAGGUGGUAACCUCAUGUGUCAUUUCUGCUAAGUCAGCUCCACUUGUGACACGUGGAGUGAGGACAGGUGGUGCAGGGGGCAGGCGGAUGGUCCUGAGCCUUUCUGGUGACAAUCUUUCUGCCAGCCUGCCACCCUGACCCCUGCCCACAUGACAGCCGUCUCCAGCUAUGGUGGGCUACAGGACAGAGGGCUUACAAGGAGCCCUGGUCACCUGUAUCCACUGCCCUAUCCCAGUCCCUUGAUUUUCUUCUGGUUAUUUUGAAAACAGCAGACCUCGAAGGUGUGAGAGUGGUGGUCAGGGUCGUGGUUGGGUGCGAGAGAAGCCGGUGGGUCUGCAAAGAGAUGCCAGCUCAGUUCAAAGCAAGGCAGAUGGAAUCAAGUCUCUGUAAGUAUAACCACACUCCCGCCUGCUCCGAGCAGGAGCUGACCAGCCCACGGUCUCACAGAGGAGUGGCAUCUGCCAGCCGCAGGGCAGAGAAGGACGAGAGCCUCUAACGCUGCCAUUCCCAGCCCUCGAUGAUGGUGUGGACUCAGCCAAGGCAGAGGGACAUUGCCAGUGGCAUUGGGGACAGAGAAGGAGAGGAGCAUCCAACCCCCAGGGCAGCGCAGAUGCCAACACCAGCUUCCUCAGGCACCAGCCCCAGGGCUGCGCUCACGUCCAAGUCCCCAGGGCAGGGCCUUGGUCACAGAAGCCCCAGCCAGGGGGUAGCUGGUUACCUGGGCGGACCCUGCCUUUUAUGAGCCCCAGCCAGCACCGUGGCCACGGUUACCUCUGGCCACCUACCUCCUGGCCUCCAGGACCGUCCCGUUCGGGAGACAGUGUGUGCGUCAUAAAAACCACACCCUCGGCAGCUGCUGCCCACCCUGAGAAGCUCGCAGAAUCUCCAUCAGAGAUUCUCCCUGAGCUGCUAGGGGUGGGCUGAACAUGGGCUUUUUCUGAAGAUCCCAGAGACCCUAACUUGCACCCAGGGAUGAACACCCACAGAAUUAACUAUCUGCUACAGCUUGAGCCGUGCCCUCUGAGUUCACGGGUGGAAGCCCGCACACCGGCACGGCUGCCAUUGGAAAUACGGCUUCUGCCAAGGUCAUGAGGGUUCGGUGAGGUCAUGGGGCGGGUCUGAUCCCAUCAGGACCCACAUCCUGGGGAGAUGAGACACCAGAGCUCUCUCUCCCUGCACAGCGAGGGCAACAAGAAGGCACCGCCUGCCAAGCUCCGUGCAAACCUGACAUCACUCCUUCCGUUACCAGGGGGAGUGACUCAGUCCCUCCACAGCUGACACAAGCCUCCCAGGGACGCAGUCUUGGGUCAGGGCCCUGCCCAUACCUUCCGUGUAGCCGCAUGCCUGCGUGAGGGCCUGGCAGUGGGUCAGCAGCGCGAUCCUGGUCACGGUCACCCCGAGCACGCUUCCGUCCUUGCAGGUCUUAUACUGAAAUGAGAUGGGGACGUGCAGAGAGGGGUACAGAGAGGACAACACGGCUGCCCCCGUCAGGCCAAGGUCGGCCCAACUGCUCGAUGCCCGUGGGCAGCGCUGCAACUCACCUCUAUGUACGCGGUAUCGUUGUUCGCAUCUUUGAUGUGUGGGAACCAAUCUCGAGGGGGCUUGGAGAGAUGCUUCGACUCUGUGACAAACCACAGCAGCUUUGGCCAACCUUGCAAACAAACAAACAGACCCCUCUGAGAGGCGUACUACCCAGAAACCAGGCUUGCCACGUCGUUCCCCCUUCCUGUGGCCCAUGUGACACGAGCCAGGGGGGAUCGCCAGUGCUUCCUCAAGCCUCAGACAACGUCAACAGCACGCAUACUGCCGGGUAAACCACGCCACACGGCAGGCUGACAACAGCAGACGUAUUGCGUUCCGUGUGCAGAAGAGCAUGUCCAGGGGAGACGCAGGACCUUCCUGAGUGAAGAGCCAGACCCCCAACUAGGCUUCUGGCUGUGGCUUACCUUUGAACUGGGGGAUCUCCCCGGUUGGGCUUUUCGGCAGCCCUUUGUGGCAGGCGUCGCUCGUCAAGGCCACAGUGACUCCACAGCUUCCAAGCAAGAACCCGAUCUGCUGGCUCCCUGCGUCCUGGGAGAGGUGAAAGACACAGAAGUCACAAAGCCGGGAAGGACGGGUACCCUCCUGGCAAGACGUGGCCUUGUCCCUGGGUUCUGGGACCUCCUGGACUCUGCAGAACUGGGAUCACAGCCCCGGUUGCCGCUUGCUGCUGUGUGACCUCGAACGGGACGGCGAGGUCACUCAGCCUCAGUUUCCUCACCUCUGCCAUGGGGUGAGAGCAGAGCCCUCGAGUGGGUCUGCUGCAAGGAAUAAACUGGAGGAGCAUGGACAGUGCUCAGUGUGCGCCUGGCACAUAGUGGGUCCCUUAAACAGCUGCUGCUACAUCUCCCUCCAGUUCCUUAAGACUAUGACCAUAGAACGUAACCGUCGUGGAGAACAGAAAGGGUUCGUCUUCCUCCGUAACACAGAGCCUGACUUUACUCACAGCACAGGGCCCUGCGGUGUCUGUUGACAUCCACUGUGGGCGGACUAGACGCCUGUUCCCAACCAAAAGGCCUGCCACCCUUGUGCGCCCGGAGUAUGUCUGUGACCAAGGACACAGCCGGACAGGCGCCUCCUGCAGGACUUGGAUGCUGGCGGGCCAGAGCACCGGAAGCCCCAAAUGACCAGCAGUGACUUAGGAGCACGGCAUCCCGCGGACCCCACGGGAUGGAGCUUUCCUCGGAGAGGCGAUCCAGGGGCCGCCAACCUGUGGUUUUGUUGCUGACCACAUCUGGCUGCCCGCAGCAGGUCUGCUCAACCGGCUUUCUUCACCCCCCCCAGUCACACCAGGCAGGAUUUAGAAAAUAAAACGAAAGCCGGCAAGGAGCUGACAUUCCUACAACUGAAACAUCACAACACGGUGAACCGGUCACCCUGGUUUGUUCCCACCGGGCUCUUCCUGAACCCGCGGACAACCCAGCAAGCUUGUGGGCAGACCAGCCCUGCCUUCCGGUCGCUCCGCCCACGUACGCCUCACUAAGCAAGCGCGUGGUGACGGGGUCUCCAGUGGGUAAAAUCAGCAGCACGGAUGUCUUCAAACGAGCCUGUCAAGCAACUGGCUCAUAGUUUAACCCUACGGUGAAAUCCAGGUCUCCUCACUCGGAAUCGCACCGCCAACCUCCCGAUACCCCAUGCAGCGCAGAGAGGCGAGCAGGGGGCUGGCGCCCGACGGACAGGGAUGUUCCCAUUUCAGGACCCUCACGGUACUUGUCCCUCAAGCAAUGCUUUUUCAAGUGGAGUUUUUAAUUCUCACUCCAAUGUGAAUUUGGAGGCCAUGUGGCCAAACAUCGAGACAAGUUCUGAGGUCACGUCUGGUGGCAGGGAGGCAUUUCUUUGUGAGCAGGAAUUCGCUACCUCAGAGCCACAUGAGCCAACAGCUCGGGAGAGUGAGCACGGGUCUGUGGGCUGGGACCUGCCAGGGCCCGCGGCCGUGCCAAGGGCUCGCAACCCAUCUCGGUUUUCCCGGCAGACACCGUCCCUGCGCCCUUUCUACAACCUGCUCGAGACUGAUGUUCAAAGUGACACAUUCACACACACGAGACAGCUGACAUAAGGCAGCAGCAGGGGACAGCAGAUGAGAAGAGUAAUGGACAGAAUGCCACAGUUCAGCCCCAAAUUCAGACCUCACCUCCAAGGGGCUUCUGUCCUCCUCAUCUGGAAAAUUCCUACUUGGAGCGCCAGGCAGCUGUGCAGAAACAGCUCUGCCCACCCAACCCCAGCGGCACAGACGAGACCCCAUCGCCUGCUCCCGAAGAAGCCCGUGUGUCUCCUUCACACGCUGAAGCUGAACGUGCUUGACCCCAGAGCCCAGAGCGGGUGGACACACUCUCAACACCACGUCAGAGCCACGGUCCGCCCCGGGCCCCAUCUCUACAUGGGGGCUCCUGCCCAGCCUGCGGAAAGAGCCGCCUCCAGGCGGCCCGACCUGCCGCUGGCUUCGGGAAGCUGCCGUCCCGUCUCAGGGAGACUGAAUGAAGCCUGUGCACUCUGGCCCCGACUCGGCGCUCCGUGUGCACCUUUCCCAGGGAAGGCCCACACGCCCGGCCCGUGGUCCUCCUCGGUUCGGUUGGGGCUCCACCCUCUCAAGAGCUGUGCUGUCAGGGCAGCCGGUGACCACCUCCCCGGUCACAAAAUCCUGACGACGAUUCUUUCUGGCUCGUCAAGAGAAGCCAGACCGCACCUGACUUCAGCCUGCCACCUCCAACCCUCUUGCAACAGAGAGGUGCCACGUUACGUCGCCUUGUGGGAAGCCUCCCGGUCUCUCUGACGACCCCUGGAGCACCCACCAGGCCAGGCUGGACACGUCCCAACCAGGGUCUGCUCCGCCCCAGCCUCCCAGGCAGGAAGCAGCAAUCUCACACACAGAAGGGUGUAACAAAUGAGAGGACGGCUCACAGAAAAGUCCCUUUCGUGAACUCACUCUGCGUCUGGGGCCCCUCACCACGAGGCUUGUGUUUAUAUCCAAGUUUGUCCUGUGCCAGCUGAGCAGCUCCUUGGCUCUCAGCAGGUGGAGCAGGACAGAAGCGCAAAGGCGUCUCACACACGCACGGUGCUGCUGAUGCCCGUGGCCCACGGGCCGUUGUGUCUCCGGUCCCGUGGUACUUUGGAACACGCACAGUUUGGCCCCUCCUAACAGCCUGCCACUCUCCUGUAAGAUUUGCAUGCCUGAGGCGCAGCCCGUGUCGGCAGAGGGGGACUGUGGGCUGGGCCUGCUCACGGGCCGACAGAGCCUCCCUGCACACAGCCGGCUUGAACCGAAGCGCAGCCGCCUCAGGAGGGCGACAGCGCCAGGCUGUCCUAGCUCUGCUGCGACCCUGCCAGGCCCAUCUCAGGAGGCCCCUGGAGGCUCCCCUCUGGCUCCCCCACACCCCCUGGCCAAAUCAUCCAGGAACUCCAGCCCUUCCUACUGCAAACCCCUCACAGAAAGGGGAGCUUUCUCCUCCCACCCAAGAACUAGGAGGGAGAGUGAAGAAACACACAGGACACUAAAUUGUUCACCCCAUCAAACAACAUUCAGGAUUUAGAAAACGGCUCUCAUUAGGCCCUUCGUGGCAAACCCAGCGGCACAGAACUGGCAGAGGAAGUGUGCGACUCCGUCACCUACGCUUCCGUGCACACCUUACCCCAUGCUGACCUGCAAAGGACCAAUGUGGUCUUCUGUUCAAAACUAAGAAAAGUCUUCCAAGGCACGAAUGUCAUGUUCUGAGCUCAGAGCCCGAGGCCUGGCACGCAGCUUCUGGCUUCACUGAGACAAAGUCAUCUCCCGGUCCUGUUUCCCAGCAGAAAAUGCUCUACGGACGGAGCAACCUAGCAUCUUCUUCUGACAAGUGCCUUCUGGUCCCCUGGUUCAGGCCGAUAACCCGAGGGUCUCCGUGGGCUGGGGAGGUGAGGGCACACCACCUAGCAGGUCGCAGCCUAGAUGCCCAAGACAGCAGGCAGCCCAGUCCCAGCAGGGCCAACACGGCACAGGUAAGACUGUACUCUCCUGCCCACGCCUGUACCAGCAGAGCUCGCUUGUGGGUGCUCACACCUGCACGGACCCUUGCCGAACCACCAGACUUGCCACUAAGAGCUCUCUGCCUCAAAGGGGAUGGUUGGGCCCCAGGGCCUAGGAUAGAACACACCUAAUGACAUCUCCCCUCCCGUUGAUUAUUACUGCAGUAACCUAAUACACAGUUACGAAGGUUUCCAGUACAAUUAAAAUGAACCGCUUACGUGCCUGUCAAACAUCCAAAGGAUACUUAACCUCCUUAUUUAAAUGAAGAAUGUUUAUUCAUUUAAUAUACAUCCAAGUGUGUAUUAAGAAAUGUUAUACGGUGGCACACGUUUGCAUCAGCAGUAUUUGAAAUGACGUGCUUGUGUUGUCACGUGACCCAAAGGGCAGAGGCACGUGUCUCUUUGUUCACGUGAUUUUCCUCUGCAAACCAGCUCUGCUUUGGGAGACAUCAGGCUACAGACUUAAGUAGAAAAAUCUAAACCCUCUAUGUGAUGAGAAGCACAUAAAUAAUAGCAACUGAUCACAUGAGAACAUCACAGAUAUAACCGUCUGGUUAUUGCAGCGCUAAGAACCAGUCUCUGUACGAACAGCAACCUACAAAUUCUUCCAGAUUAUCGUUUUGACACUACUGACGACAGAACUCAGAGGGCUUUGAGCCUUGAAGUCAGGUAACCAGCCCUUUGCGUUUCCAAAAGACCUCAACCCACUGAAUUUAAUAUCAAUUGAAGGAGGAGCGUCAUAUGCCCCGAGUAGGCUUGCAGGUGAACCGUAGUGGAAUUUACCACAGUGCCAAAGAAUCACUUAGAAGAACGUGGCUAUCCAUUCACUCAGUCCCCAAACUCUUCCACAUUUCUCCACUGUGAAUAUCAUAGGACUCGGGGGUGGAGCCUGGAACGCUGGCAGCAAGCACUUGCAAGUAAGCCUUGGACAAAAAACCUGACACCGAUAUGUGGGGUAUGUACAACAUAUGUUUCUUAUUUUCUAAUACACUGUGAGAGCAAGAUUUGGAAUUACAUCUGACAAAUCAUAGUGAACAUGGGACUCAAUCACGUCCAAACACCAAAACGUAAGCAACAACCAACAUUCCCCAAAAUAAAAUCAAAACCCUCUAAUUUAUCCAGAUUUCUAGUGUAAUGACACUGAGGAAUGAGAUAUUCAAACACUUAGUUAUUGACAGAUCACUAGGCUCAGUGUUCUUUUUUCAAAAGGUUCAGAUAUAAUUGACAUAUAACAUUCCAGCAGUUUUAGGUGUAUAAUAUUAUGAUUCAAUAUUUGUAUAUACUGCAAAAUUACCAAUACACAAAAAAAGUUGAGAACUUUUAAGAUUUACUCUCUUGGCAACUUUCAAAUGUGUGUGAAGUAUCGCUGAAUGUAGUCACCAUUGUGACUAUACCCCCAUGACUUCUUUAUUACCGGAAGUUUGUACUUCUUCACUCCCUUCAGCCAUUUCACCCACCCCACAACCACCACCACUGGCAUCCACCGUCUGUUGUGUUUAAGUUCUGGUUGUCCAUUUGUUUUCUUAGAUUCCAUAUUUAAGGGAAAUCACAUGGUGUUUGUCUUUCUCUGACUUACUUCACUUAGCAUAAUACCUUCAGGGUCCCUUCAUGCCGUUGUAAAUGGCAAGAUUUCAUUCUUUUUUAUGGUUGAGUAAUAUUCCGUUGGUA